rnacentral:lncRNA from 1 species
UCAAGACCGGCAAAAACGAAACCUAUUAUAUACCUUUGUCUUUAUUUGAUCUACAACCAAUGCUUAUGAUUCUCCAACAUUUCCUGUUCUAUGUGGUCCAACCCUGCAUUCUUAUUUCAAGAAUCGUUAGUCAACAAGCAGUUGUCAUUAAUUACCAAAACAUCACCAAAGGGGCCUAGAUGAUUCACAAGUACAACCAACAUUAUCACCAACCCAAGUAUUUGAUGGACCAAUUACACGUAGCCGAGAUAAGAAGCUACAGCAAGAGGUGCACGCACUACUUUAUAAAUUUCAAUUAAACACAAAUAAGAACUUUAUGUUAUCUAAGUCGUGUUUGUUGAUAUUACUUAGAUUCACCAAAGAGGAAUGACAAAACAUAUCAAGAGCGAAUUAGCAAGAAGAGUUAUGUCCGAGUCAGUCCAGCGCUACAGAACCGUCCAGAAGAAACAGUCAUAUCUUUUGAUUCCCAAAAGCUAUGAAGGCCCAUAAGUACUUUUUGGAAAGCUCUUGAAGUCUAGUUUCCAAUGCUUCUAAAGCCGACUUAAUCAAAUCUACCAGAAAAGCAACCGACCUACUUUAGUGCUGACUGGUUAGAAGGUCAACAGUCUGCUUGAUGACCAAGUUUUCGUAUUAAACUGCAUCAUUCUACGAAGUUUCAUUAAGCAUGCUAUAAAUGGUGAGAAAGCUUAUCAAGUCAGCUUUCCUACGCAUCCAGCCCCACGUCAUUUGGAGAUUCCUAGAAGAAGUUAUUACCAAAAUACUGAAGGCUGCGCAGAAGUCAAACAGCCACACGGAAAUCAGCUCUGCAGAUCUCACGAAGAGGCUCCUUCACAUUAGCACGUGAAAAUACUUUUGUUUCGUGUUUAUACCUCGAUAAGGCUGUUUGUUACUAGUAUAAAUACCCCCUUAUGUCUAUGAUAUAAGGUAGCUUUGGAUAAUCUAAAACAGAACCCCUUUGUUUAGCUGUGUGCUAACAAAUAUUGAGAGUGAUCUCUACCCCUUUGCUCUUGUGAAUUCCUUCGCGGGAUUACAGAAGCGGUGGCUUCAUCCGCUCCCAAUUGGUGCUCCUACUCCCUUCGAGGUCUCCUCGAUUGAUUGUAGAUUGUGUUGGUUGGUUCUUUGAGACAAACAACAGUUCAAAAACUGCUUGAUAUUGCACUAGGUUUGAAUCAAAAGUUUAAAACUAUAUGUGCAUACUAAAGGGCAGAUUAUUAAAACAUAUACAAAGUAAAAAUAAAUAUAGAUGGAAGUGCUUACAAAUUAAAAAAUGGCGAAAAACUAUAUAUAUACUUGUUACCCAAAAAUGUAAAACAACUACACAUUUUAAUCAAACCAAUGCUCUAGUUAACAAGUAGGAGAUUCUACAAGUCGUUCUAGGUUACAAAAUAAAGCAGGACACUUGACUUUUUACCUGGAACUUGCCAGUUUCUACCAUAAAUGAACUUAAGUUAUUAGGGAUAAUACGAAAUACAAGCUCUGUCUGCCUUAUCUCCCUUUUUUCCCUUAUGCUCCCUGGUUCAUGGCCUGUACCAAUUUUAAGCUAAAUUCUCUUCACUGUCUAUUUCCAAGUACUUGUCACAUGUCCACGCAGCCGCUCAUCAAACUUUCCACAGCACAGCACAAAACCCUCCCUAAACCUUGCCAGCUAAUAUCGCCAGACGGACUCCAAAAUGGCAUGGCCGCAACCAUGCUUGAGGCGCUGAAGACCCUAGGCAAGAUUUUAGAUGGAUUAUCGACUCCAUAACUAGGACACCACGCAGCUCAAGAGUCCACAGGUAACCGGGUUAGAAAAAAAAAAUCGAAUUUUAACGCUCGCAGACGGGACAGGAAGGUCGCCAAGGACAAGGCGAGCAGCGAAUUCCAACCUCCAACUGAGGCAAAGCUCGAGUCGCUUACCCACGAGAGCAGAGGUCGAUCCGAGUCAAUCCGGAUAGUCGGAGCUUCACUGACGACCCGCGCCGCACCGGUAGAGCAACAGGAAGCCGGUAACAGGCAGUGCAGAAGGAGCGGAGAGGCGAGGUCGACGGCGAUGAACCACCCGCAGCUCGCGGCGGCCACCGAGGUCGACGACAGGAAGCAAGGGGACGGAGGAGUUGGGGAGAUCUAGACGGCGGACGGGCGGCAUCCAAGACUGAGGUGGAAAAGUUGGCUGGACAGCACAGGGGUCUUCUCAGACUGCAAACUCUGCUUCUGCUCGACUCCCUCCGAGUCAGGCUGG